UACUCUCGCCACAAGGUCUGGACGGUCUUGUGGUGUCUGUCCGGGUUCAAGUUUGGAUGUAAUCUCCUCCCAGUGUGGGUUGCAAGUGAUUGUGAUAAAGUAAUCAGGCUUCCCAAACCGCUGGACUAACGCCAUCGCAUUGAGGAAUCUUCGCUGCAUGUCUCUAUCACCUCCUGGAAAAGUCCGCGGUAGCACAAUUCUCCUACCAACAUGCUUACCACGUGUCUCGCCAGCAUACAUGACGUCAACAACACCCUUCAUUAAUAAAACAAUCAAAACAUCAUUGUCCUGUUAAUUGACAUGCGUAGGGGAGGCGGUGCGUGUGUGAUAUAACAUGGAGACGAUAUGAUACCUGGUAUAAAUCAGCAUGAAUGCGCUUCUGACUCUUAGGAUUGGAGAAAAAAUCAAGUCUCAUAGUCUCACACUUUAUGUACAUGUUGACAGCCCAUUGCUGGAGCUCGCGUGCACCGAACAAUAUAAUGUUGAAAAGUCCUUUCCUAACUUGUAGCUUGAAGCAAUAGUACUCCCUGGCGCUAACAAAUUUUCUUUUACCUCCGUUUUCACCAUCAUCCUGGUCCUCUUCAUCCUGGUCAUCUUCAUCAUCUGGAACAUGGAUGAGAAAAUGAUUAAUCGUCGAUCGUUAUUAAGAAUCAUUAAAAAGUGAAACUUGUUUUGUCAGCAUGGGGAUAAUUACCUGCUACCUCAUCCGUGUUUUCUUCCAGAUGUACAUUGGAACUUUGGUCUAGAUCUUGCAAGGGUUCACGCUCUGUGUCAUCCUCUUUGUCCCCUUGCUAAGUGACUUUACGUGGUAUCUCAUAUGGUAUCCGACGGUUCCACCCCGUCUCCCCUCUCGGGAAGAAUAAUGGAUACGCCAAAGGAUCAUAGCAACCAUAGUAAGCUCUAAUAAAUAUAGGACGGUCCCCUUUGCCAUGCACGACAACCUGCCUAUCAAAAGUGUUUUGCGGGUCACUACCUUCAACCCACAUCGCGGCCACCUGUGAAGCUAUGGGGACAUUGUACCUUCUCUGGUCCAGUCUUAUGUCCGUGUUAAGGGAUAUUCUAUAUUCUUCCAGGUUCGGAACAGAUCCACAGCUUUUAAAGGUCUUCACAUAGGGGUUGUCCUUUAGUAUCUCCAGAAUGGCCCGUAUGAUAUUGAUAUCAAGAUCUGGAGACCGCUUCACUCUAUGUUCCAAGGUUACAUCUGUAUCAUAGAAGUAGAGCUGGAGAUGUCUAGGUCCUUUAUCACCUGGCACCAGAUCAUCCAUUUUAUAAUAUAGUGCCCCUUGUGCACGAAAUGUAUACACACCGGUUCUCGCCGCACUGCUGAUGGUCUUGUCGAGGGUCACUCCAAGGCUUGUGAAGGAGAAGUGGGUGUUGAAAUAUCGAAUAUGCUUUCUGAAAUAUUUCGCAUCAGCAUCAACCUAACUUGUAAACAAACGGCGCAACUCUUGAGGAACUUCAGGGGUAGCUAUCUUGACUUUUCCUUUUCUGCAACAGAAAGCAGGGCCCUCAUAUUGUAGCUUCAUUGCUCCACAAUGGAUGCAGUCUGGUACUGUUUUCAAAACAUGAUGCUUCUUUGGCAGAUUGUGGUACAUGAAGUCAUAAGAAUCAUCAUUCUGUUCACUCUGAGGCACAUCAGUUGUCAAUCGCUGGCAUGCUUCAUUUGUAUGGAACCAAGCGGACUCAUCGUCACCGCCCACCUGAGAUGCAUACUCGUGAACAUGUGUCGCCAUACCUGUAAGUAGUUGCACCUACAAAUUUAGCAUUUCUAACAUGGCACAUAUAUGUUGGAAGCAUAGAACACAUGACCUUCUUUAGUAGCCUGGGUGACUCCAGAUAUUCUGGUGGCCUGUGUAGAGCAUGGUAUGUUUUCAUCAUUAACAGGGGCGGUUGCCUGUUUUUUAAGAUCCCGUAGUUCAUGUCGGCGUUUUAAAAUCUCAUAUUUUUUAUUUGCAUACCGCUCCCUAUCCCUCUGCCUUUUGACCUCUUUAGAAUCUGCAUACACAUGAGAAGUUAGUAUGUCAGAUAAUAACGAAUGUGAAAUAAUAACGAUCUUACUAAAUAUUGCGCGUUCUGUCAGCUACCUUGACUUUGCCCGUUGGUUAUAUCUUGGAAUGGAGCCCGUGAGGAAGAUGCCAUACCAAAUUUAGGUUCCUCUACCCUUUAAAAUUAAGAGGCAUUAAAACUGCCAGCCAGCAAAUUGUAAUAGUAUCAAUGAAUAAUUGUGAAAUACUGUAUCUUUAGCUAUAAUUUAUAUUUGCAUAUAUAGGUAACUGAUUGACAUCAGUCACCAUUACAUAUCCAUAUGGCACUUUCUGCUUAUUGAUACAAGCAAUGACACCCGAGUAUGGUUAACUUUAGUUUGAACAUACUCUGUGGUUUUGAUCGCAGUAAGAUGACAUCAAUUGGCCACCCCACAAGGAUAUAGUUAGGGUUCCAGGAUUUUGUGGAAAUAUCACGUUACCAGUAUAUUUUCAGCAGGAAUAUAACCUAACAAUCCAGGAAUACACUCAUUUUUGCUACUUGCGCAAAGGAGGUAGUUACAAAUGCAAAGGUCAAUGUAGUGUUGUCUGACAAGGCAGUACUGAAACAUGUAGACAGAGAGCUUGCAAGAUUAGAAAAUGAACUGAAAGAGCCGGAGUCAGCCUCCUGCACAAGUCAUGUCUCAUCUUUGAGAGAGAAGGAUGCACAAAUUAAAAAGGUAAUUUCCCUCACCUGAAAUUUUGAUGCUUACCAAAGAUCAAUUCAAUGGUGACAGCUUUCUCGAUUUUUUUGGCAAAUAAAUAUAUGCAUAUAAUUCAGUCAAUUCAGCGGUGAUAGCAUGAGAACUUUCUUCAAUUCAAUCACAUUGCGCGACUGCAGGACAUCCAGGGAACUGCAGAAAUUAAAAGGUGGUUUUGACUGUAAUUUGGGUGACUUUCCUGCAAAUGUUCUAUCAAAUUCUUGUAGAACCCAGCGUGAGUACAUGGGUGACAAUCAGGGCCGAUUUUGUGAAGAAACCCGAAGAAAGAUGUGGAGUUCGUUUGGCAUCCGUCUAGUGCAGCAGGACGACGACGGCGAGAGGACGGCGAUUGGGCAGCAGUGUGACGACGGCGAGAGGACUGUGUCCUAGACGGCGAUAGUGCAACAGGGCGACGGUGGCGAGAGGACGGCGAUUGGGCAGCAGUGUGACGACGGCGAGAGGACUGUGUCGUGGACGGCGAUAGUGCGGCAGGGCGACGGCAGCGAGAGGACGGCGAUAGUGCUGCCGGGCGAGCACAGCAAGAGGAAAGCGUGCUGGACGUUGAGAACUGCUGCUGGGCGACAAUGGCGGCGAGAGGACUGUGUCGUGGACGGCGAUAGUGCGGCAGGGCGAUGGCAGCGAGAGGACGGCGAUAGUGCUGCCGGGCAAGCACAGCAAGAGGAAAGCGUGCUGGACGUUGAGAACUGCUACUGGGCGACAAUGGCGGCGAGAAGUCGUGCUGGCGAGGGCGAGAGGACGGCAAGAAGUCGUGCUGGCGAGUGCGAGAGGACGGCGAGAAGUCGUGCUGGCGAGGGCGAGAGGACAGCGAGAGUCCUGUUGCGGGGCGUUUGGAACGGUUUUGAUCAGCACGAUCGAUCUUAUUAUUUCGUGGAGCUGGAGACGGUUGUGGUCCGUCCGUCCGCUCCGUUCAAAGAUGUGUGGGAUUUGAGGCGUUGGAUAUAUUGUUUCAAAGGCUCAGAUUAGUUGGA